UUAACAUCAGUUAAUCUAUUUUGGCAGAUAAGUGCGAUGGAUUUAAGCUCCAUACAUAAAGCUUGCUAGCUUUUUUUAGAA
rnacentral:tRNA from 1 species